AAAGGGAGAUUAAUACCCCAUGUGAUCGCAAGAUUAAAGGCGGCCAUCUUUUGAUGGCUGUCGCUUCGGGAUGGGCUCGCGGCCUAUCAGCUAGUUGGUGAGGUAACUGCUUACCAAGGCGAUGACGGGUAGCUGGUCUGAGAGGACGACCAGUCACACUGGAACUGAGACACGGUCCAGACACCUACGGGUGGCAGCAGUCGAGAAUCAUUCGCAAUGGGCGAAAGCCUGACGGUGCGACGCCGCGUGGAGGAUGAAGGCCCUAGGGUCGUAAACUCCUGUCAUCAGGGAGUAAUGGCUCACGUAGUAACUGCCGUGAGCAGUGAUAGUACUGAAGAGGAAGGGACG
rnacentral:rRNA from 1 species